GUUCUGUCCUGAAUUUGGGCAGGUUUUCUGUUUCACCCCCAGAAGCUCCAAGAUUUGUCUGUGUUGGGGGUGUUCACGGGUGUUAAGAGCUGGGACUUUUGUUUUCACCCCUGACCUCUCCCUGAGCUUCCCUCCCACCCACGGGUCACUGUCUCCAUCGGCUCGGCGGGGGUCACAACCCGAUAGUGGGCUGCAUCUGAGCUGGCCGCGGCCCACAGCCUGUCUUUCCUCUCACGGUCCUCUGCGGUCGCUGCUCCAGUGGGAGGGAAGUCAGGGGCAGCGAAAGGCCACGUCCUCCCAGCUCCAUUUGUGACUGGACGAGCGGACCGCACCGUGUGAGUCAGCCUGUUGUGGAAGCGUCUGAGAGUCAUUGCUCUGACUGUGCUGACGAAGCACAGAGAAGAAGGAAGGCCUGACCCCUGCCAGCCCGGAUGUUCCCUGAGGGCCUCUUGCUCUUCUCCACACUGUGGCCAGAGGCCUCUGUCACAGGCAUUAAUCUGGGCUUGUCUGUGUCCUGCCUAACAGCUUCAGGAGGAAGUCACCCUGUGCCCCAGCGCCGAGGCCUGCCCUCUGGAACUUGUCUCUUUGAGGUCCUCACCACGCCUCCAGCCCUGGGCUGGGCCAGGACACCCGGCUCUGUAUUCUCACAGCUCUUGCUCCCCUGACCUUAACACUCAUCCCAGCUGGAGGUUGGAGGUCGUGACUCCUCCUUUGCUGUCUUUCCCAGUGGAGUGUAGGCCCCUCCACAGCGGGGGCCAAGCUGUAGGCUGUGCAGAGCCCACGGCGGGCCCACCGGCAUUUGAUGAUGACAGGAAGCGCUCCUCACAUUCCACUGUAACUGCACGUCUUUCUUUGAGGGCAGACCUGCAGUUGGUUCAUUUCUAUAUCCUCAGCUUUUACUCUGAUCAAAGACCUGGCUCCACAUUCCAAAGGUGUGUGGGCUCUGAUUUCAGUGACCAGGUAGGCCUUUCCGUGACCUGGCCGGGAACGGGCUCCAAGGUCCAUCGCCCACGCUCCACAUGCGGUGUGGGGAGCACAGCAAGGUCUCCUACCCUGAGGGAAGGAAAGGGUUACAGCACUCACCUCUCAGGGCCCUCCCACUCCACCCCCUGCGACAGGUGAGACAGAUGAGGGUAGUGGGUGUGGUCCCAGCAGCCCUGGGGCCCCAAGGAGCCGGGCCUCUCCUUCCAGGUUUAGAUCUGGAACAGGGCCAUGGUUUUGUCCACAGUUCCAACAGGUGUAAUGGCAAUGUCAGGGGGUCACAGUGAGUGUCCUGGCUCCCCCGGCUGUGUUGAGACACAGAGCCAUGAGGCCCCCUUCUUCACAGGUCUCAUGGGUGUCGUGGUUCCUCCCUGAGGCAGCCAGGGGCUGGGCUGCUUGAACAUCAAUCCUUUCAAAUCAUAUCAUUAAAAUCUACUCCCACACCUGUAUUUCAAAGAUAACAUUUGUGCCUGAAAUUGCCACAACUACAUUAUGGCAAAGUCACAUCAUCUGGCUCAUAAUUUAAGGCUUAGAGGCUUCAACUAAUGUAGGUGACAGUCUGGUGGCCAAAAGGAGAAAGUCUGAUUACCAAGUGGCAUUUGCUGGGAGGUCUGGGUCCCCUCCAGCACCUCACGCACAUGUGCAUAAGAGGCACUCAGUGAGUGUUUGUGGAAUCUAUGAAUGAUAUGACGUUUCUAUCCUGAGUCUCAGGGUCUUUUUCUAUUCAGAAAUCUGUCCCCAGACCAGCCGGGUGGCUCAAUGGUUAAGUUCAGGGGCUCCACUUCAGCAGCCCGGGGUUCACAGGUUUGGCUCCUGGGCAUAGACCUAGCACCACUCGUUAAGCCACGCUGUGGAGGCAUCCCACAUAAAAUAGAGGAAGAUUGGUGCAGAUGUCAGCUCAGCAACAAUCUCCCUCACAAAAAAAAAAGAAAAGAAAUCUAUCCCCAAUUAUCACACACACUCACCACAGAGCAGGUCUUUGCUCACUGAAGGGAAGCAGGGCGUUGGCCCC
rnacentral:lncRNA from 1 species